CCUACGGGAGGCAGCAGUGGGGAAUCUUGCGCAAUGGGGGCAACCCUGACGCAGCCAUGCCGCGUGAAUGAUGAAGGCCUUAGGGUUGUAAAGUUCUUUUGCCCGUGACGAUGAUGACGGUAACGGGAGAAUAAGCUCCGGCUAACUUCGUGCCAGCAGCCGCGGUAAUACGAAGGGGGCUAGCGUUGUUCGGAAUUACUGGGCGUAAAGCGCGCGCAGGCGGUUCGAUAAGUUAGGGGUGAAAUCCCUGGGCUCAACCCAGGAAUGGCCUUUAAGACUGUCGAGCUAGAGGACGAGAGAGGUGAGUGGAAUUCCCAGUGUAGAGGUGAAAUUCGUAGAUAUUGGGAAGAACACCGGUGGCGAAGGCGGCUCACUGGCUCGUUUCUGACGCUGAGGCGCGAAAGCGUAGGGAGCAAACAGGAUUAGAUACCCUGGUAGUCCACGCCCUAAACGAUGAGUGCCAGGUGUCGGGAAGCUUAGCUUCUCGGCGCCGCAGCUAACGCCUUAAGCACUCCGCCUGGGGAGUACGGCCGCAAGGUUAAACUCAAAUGAAUUGACGG
rnacentral:rRNA from 1 species